AGAGUUUGAUCAUGGCUCAGGACGAACGCUGGCGGCGUGCCUAAUACAUGCAAGUCGAGCGAAUGGAUGGGAGCUUGCUCCCUGAAGUUAGCGGCGGACGGGUGAGUAACACGUGGGCAACCUGCCUAUAAGACUGGGAUAACUCCGGGAAACCGGGGCUAAUACCGGAUAGUUCUUUUCCUCUCAUGAGGAAAAGGGGA
rnacentral:rRNA from 1 species